AGAAUCAAUGCUGGCGGCGUGCCUAACACAUGCAAGUCGCACGAGAAAGGGUAGCAAUACCUGAGUACAGUGGCGCACGGGUGAGUAACACGUGAAUAAUCUACCUCCGAGUGGGGAAUAACUGAGAGAAAUCUUAGCUAAUACCGCAUAACACUUACGAGUCAAAGCAGCAAUGCGCUUGGAGAGGAGUUCGCGGCAGAUUAGUUAGUUGGCGGGGUAAUGGCCCACCAAGACGAUGAUCUGUAUCCGGCCUGAGAGGGCGCACGGACACACUGGAACUGAAACACGGUCCAGACUCCUACGGGAGGCAGCAGUGGGGAAUUUUGCGCAAUGGGGGAAACCCUGACGCAGCAACGCCGCGUGGAGGAUGAAAUCCCUUGGGAUGUAAACUCCUUUCGAUAGGGAAGAUAAUGACGGUACCUAUAGAAGAACGCCCGGCUAACUUCGCGCCAGGCAGCCGC
rnacentral:rRNA from 1 species